rnacentral:rRNA from 1 species
UACAGGGGGUGCAAACGUUGCUCGGAAUCAUUGGGCGUAAAGAGCGUGUAGGCGGCCAGGUAGGUCUGCUGUGAAAACUCGAGGCUCAACCUCGAGACGUCGGCGGAAACCAUCUGGCUAGAGUCCGGAAGAGGAGAGUGGAAUUCCUGGUGUAGCGGUGAAAUGCGCAGAUAUCAGGAAGAACACCCGUGGCGAAGGCGGCUCUCUGGGACGGUACUGACGCUGAGACGCGAAAGCGUGGGGAGCGAACAGG